rnacentral:rRNA from 1 species
CCUACGGGCGGCAGCAGUGAGGAAUAUUGGUCAAUGGGCGCGAGCCUGAACCAGCCAAGUAGCGUGAAGGAUGACUGCCCUACGGGUUGUAAACUUCUUUUAUAAAGGAAUAAAGUGAGGCACGUGUGCCUUUUUGUAUGUACUUUAUGAAUAAGGAUCGGCUAACUCCGUGCCAGCAGCCGCGGUAAUACGGAGGAACCGAGCGUUAUCCGGGUUUAUUUGGGUUAAAGGGAGAGUAGAUGGGUUGUUAAGUCAGUUGUGAAAGUUUGCGGCUCAACCGUAAAAUUGCAAUUGAUGGUGGCAGUCUUGAGUACAGUUGAGGUAGGCGGAAUUCGUGGUGUAGCGGUGAAAUGCUUAGAUAUCACGAAGAACUCCGAUUGCGAAGGCAGCUUACUAAACUGCCACUGACAUUGAUGCUCGAAAGUGUGGGUAUCAAACAGGAUUAGAUACCCCAGUAGUC